CCGCAGACACACUGAAGUCGCUAGACGUCGUGAGGAACACAUCCGGGGAAGAAGACACAGGUGGCUGGUCAUCGAGAGCCCGCUGGGGGAAGAGCACACAGACAGGCACCGGCAGGCCAUUGACCAGCGGGACAAGGGGUGCUCAAUGUCAUCACAAGGGUCCUUAAGAGGGAAAGAGGAAGCCAUGAGGGUCAGAGUCAAAGGAAGACUUGAAGAUACUACACUGAGGACUUUAAAGAUGAAGGAAGGGGCGAAAACCAAGAAUGUGGGAAGCCUCUAGAAGCUAGAGAAGGCAAGGAAACAGAUUUUCCACUAGAGCCUCCAGAAGGAACACAGCCCUGCUGACCCACUGUAAUGUCUGACCUCUAGAUGUGUAAGGGUAGUAAGACUGAAAGUCUCAGAAAGGCACUGUUACAUUCUUAUUCCACAACCAUGCAACUCAAAACUGGGGUCCUCAGCAAUGAGCGAGGGGCGAGAGAAGGCACUGUAUAAACAUGGCACAUCCUCCUGGAAAGUCAACUUUACUCAAAGCUUUAGAAACCCAGCUCAAACUAGCUGAAGCAGAAAAGACACUACUGCGCCUGUAAGUUGAAAUUUUGGAGGGAUAUAUUUCAGAGGUGUGGCUAGAUCCAAGGGCUCUCUGGAAAACUCUGUGAAAAAAUGCUUCCUCAAGUCCAGAAACCAGAAGCUCAGGAAAUUCUUGCUUGGUUCCUCUUGUUAGAGGCAGAGAUUAUUCAACGACCUACAGGGUAGCGUUUGAACAUUGUCACCAGGAGUCUUUACUUUGCCAUUUUCCAAGUCUGUUCUCCUCAGUGUUGGUUUCAUUUACAAGAAGGCCAUCUUUGCCCUCGUGGCAAUGAUGGUCUUUACUCCAGGCUUAAGACCCUUACUAUCUACUAUUUCCAAAGCGGAGAGAGAACUUCCCACACCUAGUGACCUGUGACACAGGAUUUUAUCCUGAGGACAGAGGGAAUUCAAUUGGCUAACAUAAUCUGUCUUCCAAUGGAGUAAGAAUGUCUGGACUCUUUCCUUCACCUACCCCCAAGACAUGGAGGUGUCUAAAAGAUAAAUAAAACUUGGUGACUGACUGAAGGAGGAAGAGGGGAUUUCAGGCAAAAUCAACCCUGUUCACUAUGAGGAGACUUCAGAAAGGUUGCCUGCUUCUGGGGAGCAUAGUCCCUGAUUCCUCAAGACACACAUUUAUUCUUUUCUUCAAUGUAUUUGCCUGCAGUCAAAACAAAAUCAUUACCUUUAGCAAAGUUCACAUGUUUCAGCCAAAUCCAUAUGCAUCUGAUCAGUUCUGUAGGUUAUGGGUGAGCAUGAACAUAUAAAAGAGGCACCUGCCUGUGCCCAUCUACUCCAUGGAGUUUGAAAAGGGGCCACUUAUGGAGAAUGUCUUUAGGGACAGAACCAACCACCCUGUCUUUCCUCCAACUCUCAAAGUAACUUCUGGCUUUAAUCCUCAAGUAUCUAUGCUGGAGUUUAAGAAAAAUGUUUUUCAUAGAAUUCAGGUGUAUGAUAUUGCAUGAGUUGUCCAUCUUUGUAUAUAUCUCAAGACUUGUGGUGUUAGUUAAAGAUUCAGAGCUCUGUGUCCUGAACACAGAGUAAUACCAGCAUUACUAAGGAUGAUCAUGGGAUUUUAAAAUUCCUCCCUCAAAUAGAUCUUACAUACUUACCAGUCAACAUAAGUUAAGACAAAAAGAGCAAAUUUAGAUGUAAAACCAUCUUGGGGCCGGGUGCUGUGGCUCACGUCUGUAAUCCCAGCACUUUGGGAGGCCGAGGCGGGUAGAUCACGAGGUCAGGAGAUCGAGACCAUCCUGGCCAACACGGUGAAACCCCGUCUCUACUAAAAGCACAAAAAAUUAGCCGGGCAUGGUGGCAGGCGCCUGUAGUCCCAGCUACUAGGGAGGCUGAGGCAGGAGAAUGGUGUGAACCCUGGAGGCGGAGCUUGCAGUGAGCCGAGAUCAUGCCACUGCACUCCAGCCUGGGCGACAGAGCGAGACUCCAUCUCAAAAAAAACCAACCAACCAAACAAACAAACAAAAAAA
rnacentral:lncRNA from 1 species